rnacentral:rRNA from 1 species
GAUCCUGGCUCAGGACGAACGCUGGCGGCGUGCUUAACACAUGCAAGUCGAACGAAGAGCGAUGGAAGCUUGAUUCUAUCAAUCUUAGUGGCGAACGGGUGAGUAACGCGUAAUCAACCUGCCCUUCAGAGGGGGACGAACAGUUGGAACGACUGCUAAUACCGCAUACGAUCCAACCUCGGCAUCGAGGAUGGAUGAAAGGUGGCCUCUAUUUAUAAGCUAUCACUGAAGGAGGGG